UACGAAGGGGGCUAGCGUUGCUCGGAAUCACUGGGCGUAAAGCGCACGUAGGCGGAUUGUUAAGUCAGGGGUGAAAUCCUGGAGCUCAACUCCAGAACUGCCUUUGAUACUGGCGAUCUUGAGUCCGGGAGAGGUGAGUGGAACUGCGAGUGUAGAGGUGAAAUUCGUAGAUAUUCGCAAGAACACCAGUGGCGAAGGCGGCAUCACUGGCCCGGUACUGACGCUGAGGUGCGAAAGCGUGGGGAGCAAACAGGG
rnacentral:rRNA from 1 species